rnacentral:rRNA from 1 species
GAUGAACGCUGGCGGCGUGCCUAACACAUGCAGGUCGAGCGAAGCGCUUAAAUUAGAUUUCUUCGGAAUGACGAUUUUUGUGACUGAGCGGCGGACGGGUGAGUAACGCGUGGGUAACCUGCCUCAUACAGGGGGAUAACAGUUAGAAAUGACUGCUAAUACCGCAUAAGACCCCAGCUUCGCAUGAAGCGGUGGUAAAAACUCCGGUGGUAUGAGAUGGACCCGCGUCUGAUUAGCUAGUUGGUAAGGUAACGGCUUACCAAGGCGACGAUCAGUAGCCGACCUGAGAGGGUGACCGGCCACAUUGGGACUGAGACACGGCCCAGACUCCUACGGGAGGCAGCAGUGGGGAAUAUUGCACAAUGGGGGAAACCCUGAUGCAGCGACGCCGCGUGAAGGAUGAAGUAUUUCGGUAUGUAAACUUCUAUCAGCAGGGAAGAAAGUGACGGUACCUGACGAAGAAGCCCCGGCUAACUACGUG